ACCUAGUGAUGUGGGCAUUUACGGAGCAAACCCCUAAAGCGCUCCGAAGUCUUGAAAAAGAGUUUCCCUUCCAUCUUUGAGAAACUUGUGAUGGCUCUCUGAAGCU